rnacentral:rRNA from 1 species
GGAAAUCUCACCAGGCCCGGACACUGGAAGGAUUGACAGAUUGAUAGCUCUUUCUUGAUUCGGUGGGUGGUGGUGCAUGGCCGUUCUUAGUUGGUGGAGCGAUCUGUCUGGUUAAUUCCGAUAACGAACGAGACCCCAACCUGCUAACUAGCCCUCGGGUCCUGCUUCUGUUGGGCCCGACGGAAUGAUUCGCUUCUUAGAGGGACUCGCGGCGCCUAGCCGCACGAAGGGGAGCAAUAA